GACGAAUAAUAAGCUUUAAACCAUUAAAUUAGACAAAGGGGAUCAAAUUCUUGAUCCUUGCGUGGAAGAGAGCAGGAAAAAUUUUGCAUGGGAGUUGGAACAAAAACAAUGAAAGAGUUAAUACAAGUAUUUACUCAAUAUAUAUGUAGCUUCAUCAAAAUUGUUUAGAAACAGAUAACAAAGGAAUUCAACCCUAUUAGCUACAUAUCAAAUCCUGAAGCUCAAAAGCAUGGCUUGUCAAAUUAAGGCUCAUACUACAAUUUAUGGAAGCAGUUCUCCUCUUCUUUACAAUCUGCCAAAACUUAACUUUUCCACUGAACUUGGCAAGGCUGUUCAACUUCAAAAUCCCCGAAUUUAUGUCCUUGCUUAACUUUUCAGUAUCCGAUAAUCUAUAUGAUCUCACAUCCACCUUAACCUUUAUCUUUUCUUUCCCUCUAGCUCUGACUAGCCCCUUGCCUAUUAUCGCUUUUCCCACUGUCGUGCCUCCAUAUAACACAUUUGCAGUCGAAUUCUCGAACUUGAACAUCCCAAAAUUCGGAUUCUCGAUCGAGAACUCGGCCUCUAGAGUCAUAUUAAAGGAAGGGAAAGACGCAUUAUUAUUAGUAUAGACAAGAUUUUUCACUGAAACCAAGCUCAAUUCGAGAUGGGGAGUUCUCGGACGCAUUACUACAAGUGCAAAAACGAGGAAGAUAGCACUGAGGAUGACAAUUCCUGCAAGAAGAUAUACGAGGAAUUUACUGCUUUUUUCUUGCUGGGGUUUUACGGCGGCGAAUUCCUCAUCGUUUCUUGGGUUAAGUUUCAACGGUGGUAACGGAACCAUCUGAUUGUCUUCCGCCAUGGCUUUGGUGUGAAGGAACUGAGGGUUUAAUUGGGUUAUUUAUUUAUGCGUGUGGCCGCCAAGCUUUUGGAAUUGACGGAAAUAGGCACAGUGGAGCAUAGUGGAAGGAAACUAAGACGCGUUUAAGUUAUCGUGU
rnacentral:misc_RNA from 1 species